rnacentral:tRNA from 1 species
AGCUCCUUAGUGUAGUGGCCAAGCAUGGGAGGCUCUGACCCUCUUGACACCAGUUCGAAUCUGGUAGGAGCUACCA